rnacentral:rRNA from 1 species
AUUGAACGCUGGCGGCAGGCCUAACACAUGCAAGUCGAACGAGUGGCGGACGGGUGAGUCAUGUCUGGGAAACUGCCUGAUGGAGGGGAAUAACUACUGGAAACGGUAGCUAAUACCGCAUACCAUCGGAUGUGCCCAGAUGGGAUUAGCUAGUAGGUGGGGUAAAGGCUCACCUAGGCGACGAUCCCUAGCUGGUCUGAGAGGAUGACCAGCCACACUGGAACUGAGACACGGUCCAGACUCCUACGGGAGGCAGCAGUGGGGAAUAUUGCGCAAUGGGCGAAAGCCUGAUGCAGCCAUGCCGCGUGAAUGAAGAAGGCCUUCGGGUUGUAAAGUACUGUCAGCUGGGAGGCGGUACCCGCAGAAGAAGCACCGGCUAACUCCGUGCCAGCAGCCGCGGUAAUUC